AGAUUGAAGAAGAAGCAAAUGGAGAUAUUUUUGAUAUAGAAAUUGGUGUGUCAGAUCCGGAAAAAGUUGACUUCUCUUUCCAUGUUCAGUAAGAGUGAAUUUUCAGUCAAAAGAAGAUUCAGUGACUUUCUUGGUUUGCAUAGCAAAUUAGCAAGCAAAUAUUUACAUGUUGGUUACAUUGUGCCACCAGCUCCAGAAAAGAGCAUAGUAGGUAUGACCAAGGUCAAAGUAGGUAAAGAAGACUCAUCGUCCACUGAGUUUGUAGAAAAACGAAGAGCAGCACUGGAGAGGUAUCUUCAAAGAACAGUAAAGCAUCCAACAUUGCUUCAGGAUCCUGACUUAAGGCAGUUCUUGGAAAGCUCAGAGCUGCCGAGAGCAGUUAAUACACAGGCUCUGAGUGGAGCAGGAAUAUUGAGGAUGAAAUAAGAGAGGAAAUUGAAGAGUGGGAGGCAAAAGUACAACAAGGAGAGAGAGAUUUUGAGCAGAUCUCUAAAACAAUUCGAAAAGAAGUGGGAAGAUUUGAGAAAGAACGAGUGAAAGAUUUUAAAGCUGUUAUCAUCAAGUACUUGGAAUCAUUAGUACAAACACAGCAACAGCUGAUAAAGUACUGGGAGGCAUUCCUACCUGAAGCCAAAGCCAUUGCCUAGCGUUAUCCCCGUUAAGGAGACAUUGGAUUCCUCAGUGAGAUCAUCUAAAAAACAUCUAAAUAAACCACUAUAUAUUUUAUGAAUUACAUGUGGGUUUUUUAUAUAUAAAAACAUAUGCGCUGACAUUUUAUUACAAGCUGCAUGUCCUGACCUUCUUGGAAUUAAGUGGACUGUGGCAUGACAUUCUGCAAUAUUUUGCUGAAUUGAACACUAUUGUGUCUUAAAUACUUGCACUAAAAGGUGCAUUGCAAGGCCAGAAAAUUUUACAAUCUUUUUUCUUUAUGUUCUGUAGUGUGUUUACCCUCAUUAUGAAACAAAUUAGCAAUGCAUUGAUUAAUGUUCACUUAUACAUUCCUGUACAGAAAUUAUGAUUUUUGUGAUUAUAGUAAUAAAAUGAUAUUACUUGUG
rnacentral:lncRNA from 1 species